rnacentral:lncRNA from 1 species
AGAAAAUCGAGGACCGAGGCAAGGACACCAUGCUGCGGCGUCUCCCACUGACACCCAUGACCUGUCCAGGCAGAUUUCUGCGGCGGGAUCUGGAAGAGUGGUGCCUGACGUGCUAAACCCACCUUUCCACCAGAGGGCAGGUGUGUCAUAGCUAUUGAAACUCUCAGGUGAUGUUUUCCAAUAAAG